UACGUAGGGUGCGAGCGUUGUCCGGAAUUCUUGGGCGUAAAGAGCUUGUAGGCGGUUUGUCGCGUCUGCUGUGAAAUCUCAAGGCUCAACCUUGAGCUUGCAGUGGGUACGGGCAGGCUAGAGUGUGGUAGGGGAGACUGGAAUUCCUGGUGUAGCGGUGAAAUGCGCAGAUAUCAAGUGGAACACCAGUGGCGAAGGCGAGUCUCUGGACAUUUCCUGACGCUGAGGCACGAAAGCCAGGGGAGCAAACGGG
rnacentral:rRNA from 1 species